AUUGAACGCUGGCGGCAGGCUUAACACAUGCAAGUCGAGCGGGGGAAGGUAGCUUGCUACCGGACCUAGCGGCGGACGGGUGAGUAAUGCCUAGGAAUCUGCCUAUUAGUGGGGGACAACAUCUCGAAAGAUAGGCUAAUACCGCAUACGAUCUACGAAUGAAAGCGGGGGACCGCAAGGCCUCGCACUGUUGGAGCGGCCGAUGUCGGAUUAGCUAGUUGGCGGGGUAAAAGCCCACCAAGGCGACGAUCCGUAGCUGGUCUGAGAGGACGACCAGCCACACUGGAACUGAGACACGGUCCAGACUCCUACGGGAGGCAGCAGUGGGGAAUUUUGGACAAUGGGGGCAACCCUGAUCCAGCCAUGCCGCGUGAGUGAAGAAGGCCUUCGGGUUGUAAAGCUCUUUCGGCGGGGACGAAACGGUUCGUGACAACACCACGGACUAAUGACGGUACUCGCAGAAGAAGCACCGGCUAACUACGUGCCAGCCGCCGCCGUAA
rnacentral:rRNA from 1 species